rnacentral:rRNA from 1 species
AAGGCACAUACCCCAGUGGGCCUAAAAGCAGCCACCUGUAAAGAAAGCGUUAAAGCUCAAGCAAAGCGCAACCAACAAUAAAAAGAAACCCAUCCGAACUCCCUUCUAAUACUGAGCCCCCCUAUGAAAACAUAGAGAAGACAAUGCUAAAAUCAGUAAUAAGAGGGAAAAGCCCCUCUCCUCGCACAAUCGUGAGUCAGACAGGACACACCACUGGCACCUAACGGACCCAAAAGAGGGCAUAGCAAAGCAAUAAAACGCGAGCAAGAAAACCCUGCCUCAACUACCGUCAACCCGACACAGGACUGCACCAAGGAAAGACUAAAAGAGGGAGAAGGAACUCGGCAAACAAAAACCCCGCCUGUUUACCAAAAACAUCGCCUCUUGCUAACAAUGAAGUAUUAGAGGUCCCGCCUGCCCUGUGACAGCAGUGUUUAACGGCCGCGGUAUUUUAACCGCGCGAAGGUAGCGUAAUCACUUGUCUUUUAAAUGGAGACCUGUAUGAAUGGCAUAACGAGGGUUUAACUGUCUCCUUCCUCCAGUCAAUGAAAUUGAUCUGCCCGUGCAGAAGCGGGCAUAAUUACAUAAGACGAGAAGACCCUAUGGAGCUUCAGGCAAAUGAUCAAACACAUCAAACCCCUGUUUUUAAUAGCCUUGGGGAACAAACACCCCUGAUCAAAGUGCCUUCGGUUGGGGCGACCGUGGAGGAAAGAAAAGCCUCCAAGUGGAAUGAGAAAACCUCUCAGCCAAGAAAAACAACUCUAAGCGCCAGAAAAUCUGACCAACAAUGACCCAGGAU